rnacentral:rRNA from 1 species
GAUGAACGCUGGCGGCGUGCCUAAUACAUGCAAGUCGAGCGAACGGACGAGAAGCUUGCUUCUCUGAUGUUAGCGGCGGACGGGUGAGUAACACGUGGAUAACCUACCUAUAAGACUGGGAUAACUUCGGGAAACCGGAGCUAAUACCGGAUAAUAUUUUGAACCGCAUGGUUCAAAAGUGAAAGACGGUCUUGCUGUCACUUAUAGAUGGAUCCGCGCUGCAUUAGCUAGUUGGUAAGGUAACGGCUUACCAAGGCAACGAUGCAUAGCCGACCUGAGAGGGUGAUUGGCCACACUGGAACUGAGACACGGUCCAGACUCCUACGGGAGGCAGCAGUAGGGAAUCUUCCGCAAUGGGCGAAAGCCUGACGGAGCAACGCCGCGUGAGUGAUGAAGGUCUUCGGAUCGUAAAACUCUGUUAUUAGGGAAGAACAUAUGUGUAAGUAACUGUGCACAUCUUGACGGUACCUAAUCAGAAAGCCACGGCUAACUACGUGCCAGCAGCCGCGGUAAUACGUAGGUGGCAAGCGUUACCCGGAAUUAUUGGGCGUAAAGCGCGCGUAGGCGGUUUUUUAAGUCUGAUGUGAAAGCCCACGGCUCAACCGUGGAGGGUCAUUGGAAACUGGAAAACUUGAGUGCAGAAGAGGAAAGUGGAAUUCCAUGUGUAGCGGUGAAAUGCGCAGAGAUAUGGAGGAACACCAGUGGCGAAGGCGACUUUCUGGUCUGUAACUGACGCUGAUGUGCGAAAGCGUGGGGAUCAAACAGGAUUAGAUACCCUGGUAGUCCACGCCGUAAACGAUGAGUGCUAAGUGUUAGGGGGUUUCCGCCCCUUAGUGCUGCAGCUAACGCAUUAAGCACUCCGCCUGGGGAGUACGACCGCAAGGUUGAAACUCAAAGGAAUUGACGGGGACCCGCACAAGCGGUGGAGCAUGUGGUUUAAUUCGAAGCAACGCGAAGAACCUUACCAAAUCUUGACAUCCUUUGACAACUCUAGAGAUAGAGCCUUCCCCUUCGGGGGACAAAGUGACAGGUGGUGCAUGGUUGUCGUCAGCUCGUGUCGUGAGAUGUUGGGUUAAGUCCCGCAACGAGCGCAACCCUUAAGCUUAGUUGCCAUCAUUAAGUUGGGCACUCUAAGUUGACUGCCGGUGACAAACCGGAGGAAGGUGGGGAUGACGUCAAAUCAUCAUGCCCCUUAUGAUUUGGGCUACACACGUGCUACAAUGGACAAUACAAAGGGCAGCGAAACCGCGAGGUCAAGCAAAUCCCAUAAAGUUGUUCUCAGUUCGGAUUGUAGUCUGCAACUCGACUACAUGAAGCUGGAAUCGCUAGUAAUCGUAGAUCAGCAUGCUACGGUGAAUACGUUCCCGGGUCU